rnacentral:rRNA from 1 species
AUUGAACGCUGGCGGCAUGCCUUACACAUGCAAGUCGAACGGCAGCACGGGGGCAACCCUGGUGGCGAGUGGCGAACGGGUGAGUAAUACAUCGGAACGUGCCCGGUAGUGGGGGAUAGCUCGGCGAAAGCCGGAUUAAUACCGCAUACGACCUACGGGUGAAAGCGGGGGAUCGCAAGACCUCGCGCCAUCGGAGCGGCCGAUGUCAGAUUAGGUUGUUGGUGGGGUAAAGGCCCACCAAGCCGACGAUCUGUAGCUGGUCUGAGAGGACGACCAGCCACACUGGGACUGAGACACGGCCCAGACUCCUACGGGAGGCAGCAGUGGGGAAUUUUGGACAAUGGGCGAAAGCCUGAUCCAGCCAUGCCGCGUGCGGGAAGAAGGCCU